UGUCGAUUUACGUCGUAUAAUAUUGGGGAUAUGGCCCAAGAGUUUCUACCAAGCCACCGUAAAUGGCUUGACUACGGGGUAGUAAAUAA
rnacentral:ncRNA from 1 species